UCACAACUGUGGUCGUCCCAUUGCAAGCAAAGAUCUUUUCAGCCACCAGGAGAGGUCAGUUCUCCUUGACAAGGGAAAUCGGCUCCUUCUCAAACAUCCAGAUGAAGAAUUCCUCAGGGGAUCAGUUAGACGAGCAUGACGCCAAUUCAUCGGUCGUAGAGGAUGAGGAGUCAGAGCAAACAGGAGGAACGGGGAAUGAUGAUAAAGAGAACAAAGACGCAGAAGUCGAUCUGUUGGAAAACCAAGAGGCCAGCGAUCCUGACGAAGACUUCAGAAUUGACGAAUUUGACGAUGAUUGACAACUCUUUAAAAAAAGAAAGAAAAUGCUUUGAAUAUAUUGUAAUUGUAAUAAAAUUAAUUUCUGGUAA